rnacentral:rRNA from 1 species
GAUGAACGCUGACAGAAUGCUUAACACAUGCAAGUCCACUUGAACUUCGGUUUGGGUGGCGGACGGGUGAGUAACGCGUAAAGAACUUGCCUCACAGUUAGGGACAACAUUUGGAAACGAAUGCUAAUACCUGAUAUUAUGAUUUUAGGGCAUCCUAGAAUUAUGAAAGCUAUAUGCGCUGUGAGAGAGCUUUGCGUCCCAUUAGCUAGUUGGAGAGGUAACGGCUCACCAAGGCGAGGAUGGGUAGCCGGCCUGAGAGGGUGAACGGCCACAAGGGGACUGGGACACGGCCCUUACGCCUACGGGAGGCAGCAGUGGGGAAUAUUGGACGAUGGACCAAGAGUCUGAUCCAGCAAUUCUGUGUGCACGAUGAAGUUUUUCGGAAUGUAAAGUGCUUUCAGUUGGGAAGAAAAAAAUGACGUUACCAACAGAAGAAGUGACGGCUAAAUACGUG